rnacentral:pre_miRNA from 1 species
UUCCCCUACCAGCCGGUUCGCGGCGCCUCUUGGAGCUAACCUGUGACCGGCUAGGAGAGGACAC